rnacentral:rRNA from 1 species
UACGGAGGGUGCGAGCGUUGUCCGGAAUCACUGGGCGUAAAGGGCGCGUAGGCGGCAUGCCAAGCGUGUGGUGAAAGCCCGGGGCUCAACCCCGGGUCGGCCGUGCGGACUGGCGUGCUCGAGCAGCUGUAGGGGCGGGUGGAAUUCCGGGUGUAGCGGUGGAAUGCGUAGAGAUCCGGAAGAACACCGGUGGCGAAGGCGGCCCGA